GACGACCUUCAGGGCAGGGUGAGUUUCCGCGGGCUGCGACCCGCGGGGGCAAUUCCCGACCGGCGGUAAAGCCCGCGAGCGGCGCGGUCGGUAGGACGCGCUGCAGAUCCGGUGUAAUUCCGGAGCCGACGGUACAGUCCGGAUGGGAGAAGGUCUUC
rnacentral:ncRNA from 1 species